GACGAACGCUGGCGGCGUGCUUAACACAUGCAAGUCGAACGGUAAACCUCUUCGGAGGUGAUCAGUUGGGGACGGGUGAGUAACACGUGCGCAACCUUCCCCCGCCCCUGGGAUAACUCUAAGAACUUGGGGCUAUACCGAAUAUUCACCGCUUCCUCCAUGGGUGUGGUUGGGAAGGGUUUGCGGUGGGGGUUGGGCCCGCGGCCUCUCAGCUUGUUGGUGGGGUAGGGGCCUACCAAGGCGAAGACGGGUAGCCGGCCCGGGAGGGGGACCGGCCACAAUGGGACUGAGAGACGGCCCAGACUCCUAAGGGAGGGAGGAGGGGGGAAUAUUGCGGAAGGGGGGGAAGGCUGAAGCAGCAACGCCGGGGGGGGGAAGAAGGCCUUCGGGUUGUAAACCGCUUUCGCCUGGGAAGAAGCGUGAGGGAAGGUAAUGGGUAAAGAAGAACCGGCUAAAUAAGUG
rnacentral:rRNA from 1 species